rnacentral:rRNA from 1 species
UGGACUUUAUUUGCGCAGCAUAGGUGGGAGGCAUUGAGUUUAUUCUUGCGGGAAUUUAGGAGCCAUCAGUGAGAUACCACUCUGGUAAUGCUAGAUUUCUAACUUUGUAUCAUGAUCUGGUCAAAGAACAGUUUCAGGCGGGCAGUUUGACUGGGGCGGUCGCCUCCCAAAUGGUAACGGAGGCGUACAAAGGUUUCCUCUGAACGUGUAGAAAUCGUAUCUAGAGUGUAAAGGCAUAAGGAAGCUUGACUGUGAGACCUACAAGUCGAGCAGGGACGAAAGUCGGUCUUAGUGAUCUGACGGUGCUGAGUGGAAAGGCCGUCACUCAACGGAUAAAAGUUACUCUAGGGAUAACAGGCUGA